GCAUGAGUUUGGGAUUAUGGGAGGCUUGGUCCCUCUGGGCCUCUAAAGUGCCCCAUGCUAUACAAACUGGGCCCUUACUAUUACUAGUACUUGGCUAUGGGCAGGCCACUGAAGUCGAGUUGUCAUAAAAAGGGGAAAANNN
rnacentral:snoRNA from 1 species